GGAUGUGAGAGAGAUCAGACUGAGACAUCUGUCACCCCACUGAUUGCCAGAGUUGAUUUGGCUGAUCUGUCUGGCUAGGCGGGUGUCCUCUACCUCCCUCGCACCCCAUGUGCAUCCCUCCUGAAGCUGCAUGCUUGGUCGAAGAGGAUGACUUUCCCUGAUAGAGGAGAGAAUCGUUCUUUGGUCAAGCGCAUACAAGUAGCUGUGCUCCCCUGCUAGAAUCUCCAAACAAGCUCUCAAGUUGGGCUUUUCCAUGUGAGCUCAACAACAAGAAAGAGUGUUGUUUCCUUAAACAUUAAGUUGAAUGCUUUGA
ensembl:misc_RNA 7SK 7SK RNA